rnacentral:tRNA from 1 species
GCCUCGUUAGCGUAGUUGGAUUAUCGCAUCCGUCUAAUAAACGGUGCCUCAGCACAUCUGAGAUUACAACGGAAGGUCACUGGUUCGAGCCCAGUACGGGGCA